CCUACGGGAGGCAGCAGUAGGGAAUCUUCCGCAAUGGACGAAAGUCUGACGAGCAACGCCGCGUGAACGAUGAAGGCCUUCGGGUCGUAAAGUUCUGUUGUUAGGGAAGAACAAGUGCUAGUUGAAUAAGCUGGCACCUUGACGGUACCUAACCAGAAAGCCACGGCUAACUACGUGCCAGCAGCCGCGGUAAUACGUAGGUGGCAAGCGUUGUCCGGAAUUAUUGGGCGUAAAGCGCGCGCAGGCGGUUUCUUAAGUCUGAUGUGAAAGCCCCCGGCUCAACCGGGGAGGGUCAUUGGAAACUGGGAAACUUGAGUGCAGAAGAGGAAAGUGGAAUUCCAAGUGUAGCGGUGAAAUGCGUAGAGAUUUGGAGGAACACCAGUGGCGAAGGCGACUUUCUGGUCUGUAACUGACGCUGAGGCGCGAAAGCGUGGGGAGCAAACAGGAUUAGAUACCCUGGUAGUCCACGCUGUAAACGAUGAGUGCUAAGUGUUAGAGGGUUUCCGCCCUUUAGUGCUGAAGUUAACGCAUUAAGCACUCCGCCUGGGGAUACGGUCGCAAGACUGAAACUCAAAUGAAUUGACGG
rnacentral:rRNA from 1 species